AGUUCGAAUAUAUGUUCUUACUUUUGAUGGAUGUUCGAGUUUUCUUUUUGUUUAUAUUUAUAUUCUGCUUCCUCGUUAAGAUAGAGAGCAUAUCCAGUAUCAGGGUAAUCGGAUGUAUCGGGCUAAACCCCCCGCUACUGUAUAUGCUCUCUAUCUAAACGAAGAAGCAGAAUAAGAACAUGAACGAAGAGAAAAGAACUCAAACUUCUAUCAAAGAUAAGAACGAACAUAUAUUUGAAAAUAUUUGUUAUGACAACAAUAACAAUAGAUAACGCCCAACAAUAAGAAAGUGUUGUAUGGCCAACUCGAUCAUGCGACAAACCGCACAUAUGAAUCAGUGCUAGUAUUGAUAAUCUAUCGAGAAGAAUUAAUUUGAAUUUGCCCUAACAUUUUCGCCCACCUUCGACAACAGCAUUGAUGAAAUAUUAACCUCUGGAUCUGUAGGUAGUAUACACAAUUUGACAAUUAAACGUUUUAAGGUCGAAGUUGACGUAUGAAUAGUCACUACUCGUUUAAAGAAGUUACAAUUACAGGAUAUAUUUUUAUACUUAAAUGGGAUGAGUACAUAAGAAAUAUAUGUAGGUGUAAUUUUAUAAAUAUGUACGAAAAACAAUUGUUAAAUAUGUUACAUUAACCCUCGGAGAACACAUAGGGUCAAUUUGACCCUUACCUCGAAUUUGAUCAUGCUUCUUUUGUACAGCGCAACACCUAAUAGAUGUUGGGCAUUAUUCGAAGUUGGUGCAGGGUCAUUCUGACCCUGUUGUGUACUAAGCAUCGGUUUUUCAAUAGUGAGCACGAUGGCAUAUAGUUUGCGGUCACAUAUUCAGAAUGCCUUAGUACGUGUCGAGCAAGAAUAUUACGAUGACAACAGUUCUUCUGAGGUGAAUAAUGUGUCAGUACAGUCAAACACUGACACGUCGUAUUCAGAUUAUAAUGAAGCCGUCGCCGACAAUAAAUAAGUUAACUUUUACCACAAGUCAUUUAAAUAAUAAAGUAU